AUCUCCCCCCUCCCCUCUCACUCUCUCUCCCUUGCUCCUCUCCCUCCUCUGAGUCUGUCACCUCUUCUCUCUCUCCCCCCUCCCCAGUCUCCUUCCCUCUGCACCUUGUCUCGUCUCUGUCUUGGGAGACGCCUGCCAUGCCCAGCCCCCUGCAUCCUUGCCCCAGUUCUUUGCCCCUGUCUCCUGCCCUUCCUCAGGGCGCUGAGGUUUCCAAGUUCAGAGCAGACAGCGGACUCCCCCCAGGGAUCUGCGCAGGCUCUGUGGCAGGAGGCGGGACAGCCUGGAGUGGGGCUGCCAAGCCGGACACCCCGGGUGGAAGGACCUUUGUGACACCCAUUUUCUCUCUUUCCUGUCUGUCCUGCACUCUGGACACUGGCUGGAGGAAUCAGCCCUGCCCCAGGCCCAGGAAGGAGGGAACGAGGCCCAUGCUCAGAGACAAGGAGCGAGUUGCCCAAAGACACACAGCAUGCAGCACGGAGCCAUCAGCACUGGGAGGACCUCAGCCGAGUCCCAUUUCCUAAACACCAGCACCUGCUAGGACAGAGGCGUCACGGGCACCCCGGCCUUCCCAAAGGACCACCCGAAGGAUGCAGGGCACUUGUCUCCAUCAAGAGGGACCACACGAGUCUGCAUGAGGCCUGACCUCCUCCGGAUUGGUCCGAAAGGCAGUCGCAGACCAGGAGGAAGCUUCUAUCGCCACCUAGUGGCCAAGGCCGGAACCGCACCCCAGCCAUAUUAGACACGUUGGAUCCCAACAAAAAUAUGGGGGGAGGGUGAGAACUUGCAAAAUUCUGUAAAAAUAAAAAUGCUGACUCCUAAUCAAUACAUAAA